rnacentral:rRNA from 1 species
UGGCGGACGGGUGAGUAACGCGUGGGGAACCUGCCCUGUACAGGGGGAUAACACUUAGAAAUAGGUGCUAAUACCGCAUAAGCGCACAGUAUCGCAUGAUACAGUGUGAAAAACUCCGGUGGUACAGGAUGGACCCGCGUCUGAUUAGCUGGUUGGCGGGGUAACGGCCCACCAAGGCGACGAUCAGUAGCCGGCCUGAGAGGGUGGACGGCCACAUUGGGACUGAGACACGGCCCAAACUCCUACGGGAGGCAGCAG